rnacentral:rRNA from 1 species
UAGGGAAUAUUGGACAAUGGGGGCAACCCUGAUCCAGCCAUGCCGCGUGAGUGAAGAAGGCCCUCGGGUUGUAAAGCUCUUUUGUCCGGAAAGAAAAGCAUUCGGUGAAUACCCGGCUGUUCUGACGGUACCGGCAGAAUAAGCACCGGCUAACUUCGUGCCAGCAGCCGCGGUAAUACGAAGGGUGCAAGCGUUACUCGGAAUUACUGGGCGUAAAGCGUGCGUAGGUGGUUGUUUAAGUCUGAUGUGAAAGCCCUGGGCUCAACCUGGGAAUGGCAAUGGAAACUGGGCAGCAAGGGUGGGGUAGAGGGUAUUGGAAUUCCCGGUGUAGCAGUGAAAUGCGUAGAGAUCGGGAGGAACAUCUGUGGCGAAGGCGACUGCCUGGACCAGCACUGACACUGAGGCACGAAAGCGUGGGGAGCAAACA